AAUAAAUCUGCAGGAAGUUUUGGACAUAGAGAAAAAAUUUCAUUGGAUGUUUCUGUAAUGUAAAUUGCUAUUCCUGUCCUUUGUAGGUGGUGGAUCACACAUUUGUAGCAUAUAGAUAGCAACUUGGUAAGAUUCCAUGGCGUAUUUUCUUCACUGUUGUUCCUGAUUUAAUAGUUGUCUAGAUAUAAUGCAGUGGUCCUCCAAAUUUUCACUUGAGAUUCUCAGUUGUUUUGUGUCAGCCUUGUAAUGCAUAUACUUUUCCUUUUAUUAAAAAAAAAAAA
rnacentral:misc_RNA from 1 species